UUGUUUAUAUGUACUCAACGAUUUCUUUUUCGAAAAUGAAGUAGGUACACUUUUCCUAAAUAGA
rnacentral:tRNA from 1 species